GAUGAACGCUGGCGGCGUGCCUAAUACAUGCAAGUCGAGCGAACAGACGAGGAGCUUGCUCCUCUGGCGUUAGCGGCGGACGGGUGAGUAACACGUGGAUAACCUACCUAUAAGACUGGGAUAACUUCGGGAAACCGGAGCUAAUACCGGAUAAUAUAUUGAACCGCAUGGUUCAAUAGUGAAAGACGGUUUUGCUGUCACUUAUAGAUGGAUCCGCGCCGCAUUAGCUAGUUGGUAAGGUAACGGCUUACCAAGGCAACGAUGCGUAGCCGACCUGAGAGGGUGAUCGGCCACACUGGAAUUGAGACACGGUCCAGACUCCUACGGGAGGCAGCAGUAGGGAAUCGUCCGCAAUGGGCGAAAGCCUGACGGAGCAACGCGGCGUGAGUGAUGAAGGUCUUCGGAUCGUAAAACUCUGUUAUUAGGGAAGAACAAAUGUGUAAGUAACUAUGCACGUCUUGACGGUACCUAAUCAGAAAGCCACGGCUAACUACGUG
rnacentral:rRNA from 1 species